CAGGGAUGUAAUAACAGCAUGGUGACUAUGGUUAAUAUUAUAUUAUAUAUUUGAAAAUUUCUAACUAUAUGUACAAUUACCAAAUCAUUAUGUUGUACACUUGAAACUAAUAUAAUGUUGUAUGUCAAUUACCUUCAAUAAAAAAUAAAAACACAUUGCUUGAUAAGCACUACUAAACCAGAGCAACAUUUCUCAAAGACGGAAUAUGGGUUGCCUAUAUCGUAUCAGUAGGGCAUUUCAUAAAAAAGAUGAUUCCCAGGACCAAUCCCAGACCUAUUAAAUCAGAAUCUCUUGGAUUGGUGCCUGAGAUUCUGAAUAUUUAGGCCUAGCACAUGAAUGGAAAAGCUUGAGAAUGCCUAAUGUUGAAAAAAGUAUUAAUAGCAAGUUUAUGAAAAUUACCUCAUAAAUAUUGCUUUUCUUAAUUAGCUUUUGAUUUGUAAUGUGAAUUGCAGAGGGUUUGGGGCUAUAUUGUAUGGUGUCAAUCAACAGUUUGGGUACUUUGUGUUAUUGAUUAGAGAUAGUUCAAUAUGCAUUAGGAAUCAAGUAACCCAGUUGCAGAGCUGAAAUACCUACACAGAAAUUGAGGAGCAUGAAGAAUUUCUCACCAAUAUAGAUCAUUAUCCCAACUCUAAUAUGUCCUCAACACAAUUCCUUCUCAUUUUUAUAGGAACCUUAUGAAGAAAUAUUCUUAAAAACACUGUUAAGAAUUAGGGCUGGUUUUCAACAUCUACUGAGUACACAGCCGAAGAGUUUUUCACUGGUAAUUGAUUAAAAUAUUCAAAUGUUAAAUAGAAAAAAAAUCUCAAUAUGAAGAUGAAAUAAUGUAGAAAUACAGAAAUAAAGAUGAAAUAAGUAGGAUUUAUGGUGUAUUUUACAAAUCCAAUACCGUGGAUGUCCAAUAUUACUUCCUUUUCUAAACAGCAAAUUGGUAUUCUUUGGGGAUUAAUAAUUCUAAAUUAUGCUCAGUCUUCAUGGGACUAUUGAACAAAGUUUUCCAUUCUCUCACUAUGAAAAUUAGUUUCUUCACUAGACUCAUAUCUCAGUGCCAAAGAGUGCCCAGGCAAUACGCUUUCUCUCUCUAGCCCAGGGACUGAGUCUGGAACAAGAGGUAUAAAGAAAAAAAAAAAAGCAGUUACUCAGAGCCUGAUGUCAAGUAGUUUCAAUGACAUUCAGGAACUAUCUCACUCCUGACCGUUUUCAAGCCUCUUUCUUCUACUCUACUCAAAUAAAUGCGCUUUAGGGAUAAAUUCUUUAACUGAUGUUAUAAAGGGUUAGCAUGCUAGAGUUAUCAUGAAAAUGGAUUGUUUCAGUUAGGAGCUGAUUUAUUAGCCGAAUGUAUCGUGUCGAUGGUGAUAUAUGUUUCUAUCUCUAACUCUAUGCAGUGCACCUACUCAUGGUUUAUAAAUGUUGAAGUGGCCCGAAAUGCGGAGUGGCAAGAGAAGGAAAACGGCUUUUAAUUGUGUCAAUAAUGGUGUUGGUAUUUUCUUUACGGAACUGGAAGUGAAACUAUGGUACUGCUGCUGCAAAUUCUGUGUAUUGAUAACAGUGCCAUCUGCCAAAUUACUUUUUAUGAUUUGUUGAGAACAUACAUUUCAAAAAAAUAAUUUUUUAAAUUAAUUAGUUGGUGUUCAGGCUCUACAAAAAAGCACGUUGAUUAUAACAAUGGACUUUACUCACAUACAAGCACUGAGGUAGUAGGAAUUUUCUGAUAUAUUAAUGAUAUGUGUCAGAAAUUAUAUUUUCUGCCCUUUUUCAUGACUGGCCUUUCCAUUUAGAAGAGAUAUAAAAGGUGUCAUGAGUUUAUUGAGUUAAUCACUAAAUAAACUCAAAUAUGAACAUAAUUAUUUCAUGUGGGCAUGCUACUCUGAAAACAAAUUUUUAGCAUGCAAACCCCUGAAGACAAUAAUCUGGAGUACAUAUUCAUUAUUUUUUAGUGAUGUAGCACAUUUUAUUGUUCAUAGUCUUACCUGUGUUAUCACCCUGGUUUAUAAAUUUCAACUGAAAUCCCAGGUAUAUAUGUAUAGUGUUUCCAAACAACUACUUACUUCUUCAGAAUAUUUUCAAAACAUAAUGGGUUCAUGUCAUUCUACCGUUUAAAAUUCUUCGAUGGAUUUCCAGUACAUUUAAGGUAAAAUUCAUAGUUAAAGGUCAUAGUAUGUACUUUAACAAUUGGUUUAAUUCAGAUCUUAACUAGUAUAUACUCUCAAAGGAUUUCUUUCCAUGUGUACUUUCCAUUGCUCACCACAUAGCCUAUUCAGUUCCUCCCACUCCCAGUAAGCUUGUUCCUUUAGGCAUAUUUAUUCACAUUACUUGGAAUGAUUGUACUCCUAUUUUUCUCCUGGUAUCAGUUCUCAGCCAUAUUAUUCCCAUGUUAUUCAUUCAGAAAAUAGUUAGGAACACCUACUAACUGCCACAUUCUUCUAGUCACUAGUAACCUGGCAGUGAAUACAAAAGAUAAAAUCCAGGCCUAUUUAAAGCUUAUAUUCUACUGCACUAGAAAUAAUACAUUAAAUAUACUCUUAUGAAUAGAAUGCCAGGAAGUGAUAAGAGCUAUAGGGAAAAAAAAUUAUAAAAUAGAAUAGGAAAUAGGUGCAAUUUAAAAUAGAAUGUUUAGAGAAGGCCUUCUUAAGGAGGCUAUAUUUGAGCAGCAAUCUAAAUUGCAAAAAAAAAAAAAAAAAGUAACCCAUGCAUGCAAACAUCUGGAAUACAUGAUCCAACUUCAGAGAAUGGAAUGGCCUGAAGAAAGAACUGGUGUUAUAUUUUCAAAGACAAAUAGGAAGGCCAAUAUGAAGAGAACUAUGCCUGGUAUGGACAAGAGGAAGCUAAAGACUAGAUUAUGCAGGUUCCAUUGUCCAUAUGUUGUACUUUAUAUUUUACUGUAAUUAUAACUUAAAUCCAUCAGAUAUUUUAAGGAAGAGUGUGAUAUGAUCUAAAUUAUUAAGAAGCAUCAGUCCAGCUACUAAAUGAUAGCCUCUGGGGGAUUUAGUAGACAGCUUUUGUCACAUAGCAAGUAACCUCAAAAUAAAAGAAUGGUGGAGAGCCAAAGAAGCCUAGGAUGGUAAGGUGUAUACAAAUGGUGAUUUACCAUGAGAGACUAUGAAAUAAAAGCUUCUAGGAUGAGUUACAAGGCAAGGGUGCUCCCUCUCACAACUUUUCUUCAAUAUGGUACUAGAAGUUCUGGCCAGAGCAACUAGGC
rnacentral:lncRNA from 1 species